CUAGAGUUACCGACGCAACCAUAAUAUACAUUUUUCGAUCCUUUCUUUCUUUUUAAUCCACGAUUUGUAAGUGCCUCUCCAAUGGAAGAGUCGGAAUCCGAGGCUAUACGAGAUGUUAGUGAAAAUUAUAAAUCUCAUUUUGACAAUAAUUACCAUCAGAAUCUUCAAAUAACGCCUGCUUAAACCUUCUAAAUUUGUUAGAAAAAUACAUAAUACGUGACAUUCAUAAAAACCUACUCAAUUUGUUCUUCAAAUUGCUUCAUGGUUUUUGGCACGUCAGAUAUUCAUACUUACUCAAUCCAGUACAAAUUAGCGAUUUCUAUCGCAUUAUAGCGUUUACAUAAAAUGCGAAAAUAACCUGGCGUAAGUUGGGUUACUUAUUCAAUUUAUAAAUAAAUAGUAUUGAAACAAAAAUAUACAUUGUUUUAAUCGUUAGAGGUAAGCUGCUAGUAUUCUUGAAUAAUAAGAAAAAUCCCUUUCCGCAGGUAGGGCCUGGUUUAUUUUGCUUUCUCGAUAUUCCUUUUCCAAUUU